AGCGGCCCCUUCAGUUCUCCCAGCCCAAUCAAGACUGACUGCCAACACCCGGUUUUCCCGGAAUGCCGGUGCAAUCGUAUCCUGGGAAAAGACAGGCUACACUUCGACCACCUCACGGGACCAGGAUAACUGUAACUUACACUCCCUCACCCAAGGAGGGACAGUGACGGGACUUCCCUUCGCUCCAGGCACGGACCGGUUGCACCCGGCGGAACGCACCUUGAGGUCCUCCGCCGCGUCCUGCAGCGGUCGUACCCGGUGAGCCCAGUGCUCUGAGCGCUCGCAGGAGGGACACAGCAGGCAGAGGUCGUCGCCGCAGAAGGUGGCCAGCGGCUCGCGGUGCGCCGCGCACACGCCCUGCGGGACGGGCGACGGCGGGUGCAGGCGCCGGGCCAUUUCUGCCAUUUUGGCGAGCGGGCGGUUGGGUCGCAGGUUCCUCUGCGCCGACAGCUCGCGGCACUCGGGACACGCAUACGGGCCCUCGGGCUGGCCCCAGCAACGUCGGAUGCACUCGCGGCAGAAGUUGUGACCGCAGUCGGUCAUCACCGGGUCGGUGAAGUAAUCGAGGCAGAUGGCGCAGGUGGCCUCCUCCUGGAGCCCGCAGCACCCCUGGACUGUUGUCGCUCAGACACCCCCAACACCACCCUCAUGUCUGGGGGCAGACCCGAAGAGAUCAGGGAUGGGAAACGAGAAACGGUGUCCGGCGCGGGGUCCAGAAGGCUCAGAGUGAAAACCACUUCGGAAAUGCGCGCGCUUGCCAGGGUGCCAGUAACUUGUAACAGGAAUGGAAAGCGAGGGGUCCUUCGGAGAGGGAGUGAUAGGAACCGGCACUUGGAGGAAGGGACCUGGAGAAGCCGACGUUCCUCUUCCACCAGGAACAGGACCACCUUCUGGAACUCCUCCAGGAUGCGCUCUCUACGCUCCUUCACUUUAUCCUGUGGCAAUGGGGUGGGCCCAGACAGGAUGGCUUUCCUUCAAGGUUGCUAUACAGCAGUUCUGGACAGUUGGUGAUCUAGAACUCUUGGUCAAAGUUGGAAACCAGGACCUUUGACAGAGGUCCCCAUGCCAUCCCUUGUGAACCCUAACAGAUCAGACCCUGAGUGGCAGCAUUCACACAUUCAAAUGUCUGUGUGUCCUAGUGUGGGUGGGUUCAGAACAUGCCACCUCAAGGAAGGACACAGGUAUGAUUCAUAAAAAGGACAGCAGGCUCCUAAUGACCAGGCUAAAAGUCAGACUGGAGUUACCCAUAUCCCUGAAGCUGACCAAAACUCUUAAGAAAUCAGAAUUUCACAGACAAGAGGUCAGACACCAAACUUUCAGAGUCCAGGAGCACCUCUCCUCCCUGAAGCCUCCCACCUUGAAAGGGCCCUUCCUGUCAUGGGAUGAGGAUGGAUCUGGACACACAGGGUGGACGACAGCCAUUGGGCACCCACCUUCCAUUCAGUUAAGGUCUCUUCCCCCUUGGCUUGCAGCGUCUCUGUCUUCAUUAUCUCCUCCCGAAGAUACUUUAUGUCUUCCUCCAACUUCGUCUGGAUACACAAACACAGGCUUCAGCUCAUCUGGAUGCAUUCUCUGCAGAAGUUGUGGCCACAGGAAGUCAUCACAGGAUCAAUGAAAUAAUCGAGGCAGAUGGAACAUGUGGCCUCUUCUUGCAGCCUUCUGGCAAGUUCCACAGCAUCCAUUGCUCCUGGGGAGAAACAAGGGGAAGUUUCCACUGUAACCCCCUGACAGGCAGAAGCACAGAACUGGCACCCCAUGUCUGCCUCCUCUGUUGCUCUUCAUGGAUGAGAACAAAUGCUGGUGUCCGAAUGUGGCAUACAAAGACACUCUGAACAAAUGCUAGCCAGACCCCUGAACCUUGGCUGCUAUGCAUGGACUUGGUCCCUAAGUCAGCUUAGCCACAAGCUCCUUCCCAUACCUUCUGGGACUCCCCAGCUGUUGUGCAUCUGCAGUCAAGUCCCAGCUCGGCCCUAGGGCCACACUCCCAUCCCAAAAGGCUGCCACAGAGUCAAGUGCCAGAGUACUGACUUUAGCAAAUCCCUGGUAAAACAAAGGAACUUAGAAAGGAAGGGGGAUCCUUUCAGUUAAGAUGCAAUGCAGAAAGGACAACACAGGACACACAGACAGAGGGGCUCCAUGCAGACACAUGGACACACGAACACAUGCACACACAAACACAGGGGCUGCGUGUAGACAUGCAGACACAUC